rnacentral:rRNA from 1 species
GAUGAACGCUGGCGGCGUGCCUAAUACAUGCAAGUCGAGCGAACAGACGAGGAGCUUUCUCCUCUGACGUUAGCGGCGGACGGGUGAGUAACACGUGGAUAACCUACCUAUUAGACUGGGAUAACUUCGGGAAACCGGAUCUAAUACCGGAUAAUAUAUUGAACCGCAUGGUUCAAUAGUGAAAGACGGUUUUGCUGUCACUUAUAGAUGGAUCCGCGCCGCAUUAGCUAGUUGGUAAGGUAACGGCUUACCAAGGCAACGAUGCGUAGCCGACCUGAGAGGGUGAUCGGCCACACUGGAACUGAGACACGGUCCAGACUCCUACGGGAGGCAGCAGUAGGGAAUAUUCCGCAAUGGGCGAAAGCCUGACGCAGCAACACCGCGUGAGUGAUGAAGGUCUUCGGAUCGUAAAACUCUGUUAUUAGGGAAGAACAAAUGUGUAAGUAACUAUGCACGUCUUGACGGUACCUAAUCAGAAAGCAACGGCUAACUACGUG